GGUGGGAGGAGCAGGCGUUUCACUGGGGCAGGCCUGAGGUGGAGUAGGAAGGACAUGUCAGAAGUUAGUUCAGACAGAGGAGUUGGAACGCUCCCCUGAUGGUGCUGUUUUUGGAAUUCUAGCUAUUCCCCAUGCACUUAAGGAUGUAGAAUGACUCAAGAAUUAAAGGGGGUGAUGAUGCUGGCAGGGAGUCUCCAGCUUGUCCUACUGCUGGCCCUGAGCACCGAGGCCACAAGCCUCAAUAUCCCUCCAGAAGUGGAGCAGCUUCCUACUAUUGUAUUUCACACAACGGGGCCCAUUAUUGCACUUCCGUACGACAACAUUGUGACAAUCAGAUGUGAAGCAAGGGGAAACCCUCCCCCCGAAUACAGAUGGACGAAAGAUGAUCUCGACUUUAUCCCUCCCCAGCCUGCAACAAUCAAAAGUGACCAACUUGCCACAGAUGGUACUUUUGUACUUCAAAACAAAAGCCUUGCUCGAUUUCAGGGUAAAUAUCGAUGCUACGCUUCCAACAAGCUGGGAACCGCCAUAACAGAGACCGUUGAGCUAAUAGUACCUAGUAUGCCAAAAUUUCCAAAGGAAACAAUUGAACCAAUUGUUGUUGAGGAGGGAGAACCUUUCGUCCUGCAGUGUAACCCUCCAGAGGGCGUUCCCCCAAGAAAGAUCCACUGGAUGUCCAUUGGUCUGCAGCACAUUGAUCAGGAUGAGAGGGUUUCCAUGGGCACUGAUGGCAGCCUGUACUUCUCUCAUGCCUUACAGAAAGACAGUCGUCCGGACUACUGCUGCUUUGCUGACUUUCUCCGCAUACGCACAAUCGUCCAGAAGCCCGCUAUGGCAGUUGAGGUCAAGCCAUGGACACCAGAGUAUGAAUCUUCUGACAGCAGUGAUGCCAGCCCCCCUGUGAGAACACCCAGCCUUCUGCUUCCCUCUGGUGUUCAGACUGAGAAAGUGCUCUUGAAAGGCGCAGAGCUUCAGCUUGAGUGUGUACCAGGGGGAUAUCCCACUCCAAAGAUAGAAUGGAUGAAGAUGGGAGAGAAACUUACCGCUCGAACAAAAUUUGACAACUUUGGAAAACUAUUGACCAUACCUGCAAUAGAGGAAAGUGAUGAGGGCAAAUACAUGUGCUUAGCCAAAAACUCAGCUGGACAUGCUGUCCAUUACUUUGAUGUAAUAGUAGAAGAACCUCCAAAGUGGCUGACAGUGCCGUCUCACAGCCAGCUGACUGUGAUCGGCUCUGAUGUGUACAUCAGGUGCUCGGUCAGCGGGAAACCACAACCAGACAUAAUGUGGAAAAAAAAUGGACACAUUUUUGAAGAUGACCCCCUGAACAACAAACGAGUGCUUGAUGACACACUGGUGCUCCACAAUGCCAUGCCAGAUGACAGUGGCGUCUACCAGUGUGAAGCAGUCAACAGACACGGUCUUGUUCUAAGCAACAUUAACAUCAUGGUCAUGAAUAUGGCUCCUCUGAUCCUUACUGAGGACUACCAGGAGUAUGCAGUGAUACUUGGCGAGAACGUGACCAUGAACUGUAGUGUUUUCGGCUCGCCUCCUCCCACUAUCUCUUGGGCCAAAGAUGAGACUCCAGAAACCAUUGAGGGAGAAAGAUUUGUUGCCCUUCAAAACGGGUCGUUACAAAUCUACAGUGUGGAGAAAAAAGACAGCAGCGAAUAUCUCUGUGUUGCCGAUAACAGCGAGGGCAAGUCGUCUAUCACGGCUGUGCUGGCAGUGAAAGACCCCACACAUAUUGUAAAUGGACCUCAGGACAUGCAGGUCAUCAGUGGGACCACAGCCCAGUUGACGUGUCAGGCUGAGUAUGAUAAAAGUCUAGAGGACUCCUUUGAGGUGGUUUGGAUAAAGGAUGGGGAGCAAAUGACACUUUCCACAGAGGAACAGUCCAGGUACUUCGUGGGUGAUGGCAUGUUGCAGAUCAUGAACGUGAACCUGAGUGAUGAGGGAGUUUAUGCGUGCAUGGCCAGAACGCGUCUGGAUGAGGAUAAUGUUACCGCCCUUCUCACAGUGCUUGAUGUUCCUGAUGCCCCGCAAAAUGUAGAGAUAAGUGAACUCAAGAAUCAGAGAAAUAUCUGUCUGGCUUGGGUGCCUGGCAGUGAUCACAACAGCUCCAUAAUAGAAUUCAUUGUGGAGUAUGAGGAGAGCCAAUGGGAGCCAGGCAAGUGGAAGGAGCUCCUCAAAGUCCCUGGUAACCAGGCAACAGCCGAGCUGGCACUCCACGGACAUCUUAACUACCAGUUCAGAGUGUACGCUGUGAAUGCUGUUGGACCUGGGCCCCCUAGUGAGCCCACUGCGCUCUACAAAACCCCCCUAGCUGCGCCUGAUAGGAACCCAGAAAACAUUAAAAUCCAAGGCCAUCUACCAAAUCAAAUGGACAUUAGCUGGGAGCCACUGUUGCCUGUUGAACACAACGGCCCAGACCUGAAGUACAAGGUGAGCUACAGGAAACUCGCUGUGGAUGACACCUGGACAGAACAUCUGGUCAAAAGACACUCCUUCAUUGUGAGGAACACAUCAACAUUCAUCCCGUACGAGAUCAAAAUUCAGAGCAGGAAUAGCCACGGAUGGGGACCAGAGCCUAGAAUUGCUACAGGUUAUUCUGGAGAAGAUGUUCCAACUGCAGCGCCACGGGAUGUUGCAGUGGAGGUGAUUAACACAACUGUUCUGAGAGUGAGCUGGACACCGGUUCCGCCUGUCACACUGAGAGGUCAGCUAAGGGGGUACCAUGUUCACUUGCUGAAGAAGCGAAGUUUCCUGAAUCCUGACAGGAUCUUGGAUGAGCGCCACACGCUGUCAUUCCCCGGGAAGAGGACUCACGCCAUUGUGCCCAGCCUUCAAGCUUUCUCAGAGUAUACGCUCACUGUCAAUGUCUUCAACAAGAAGGGAAAUGGGCCUAGCAGUGAUCCAGUCACCUUCAACACUCCAGAAGGAGUUCCAGAAAAGGUACCCAUUCUGACCACCUCCAAUGCCCAGAAAGAUUCCAUCCAGCUUGUAUGGGGUCCACCACUGGUGGCAAACGGCAUUCUGACAGGCUACCUCCUACAGUACCACCUCAUUAAUGAGACCACAAAGGAGGUGCUUGAUUCCCGGGAAAUGAACAUCACAGGGCCCGACACCACCCACUGGCAGCUGGAGGGCUUAGAAGAGGGCAGCCUCUACCUCUUUCACCUCAGUGCCUGCACUCGAGCAGGGUGUGGACCUCCACUGGCACGAGAAAGCAGCACUGUCAUUCCAGCCCAAGUCCUGGAUGUACUCCACCUCCUGCCCAAAAUCGGCUGGCAUACGUUCCAGCUCACCCGCAACCCUAAUGAGGACAAAAAAAUGGAUGGCUGGAACUCCUCCAAAGAGGCACAUGUAAUGAAUGCAUUAUUGCAACUUGAGUGUUCAUCAGGAUGUUGCAUACAAAGUACUGAAGAUCAGACAGUGAGAUGAGGCAUGUUUCUCACUAUAUCAUUUAUGGCUGCCAACAAAGGUAAAGGAAAGGUGGCGUAAAGACUCCUGUACUCCCGCCUUGCCUCCCCUGCUUCUCUGCACUUGGGUCCACCACCUUUUGCCACCAACUCCACCACACAAACCUGCAACCGUGACACUCCCAUAUUAAGACGAGUUUAGAAUGUUUUCAAGAUCCCAAAUUCUGUUGUCACGUCAACCAAUGGCCAAAAAUUUUUGUUCACCUGUUUUCAAUUAAAAAUGGUGAGGAGCAAAUGACAGUAAAAUUUUGGAAUUUGGACAUGUGAACACAAGUGGACACAAAAACUGAAGACUAUUGUAAAUCAUUAGCCUAAUAGCAUAUUUGCCAAAGUCAAUUUUUAACAUUUUUGGAAUCAAGAAAAAAACACAACUAAUUCAACAAACCAGAUAGGUCCACUUGCCUCGAUUCAACCUAUGCGGACUGACAUGACCUGCAUGACUGAGAAUCUACACAGAUGUACAGAAUUUUAGAUUUUUUUGUGGUAUUUUAAGUUAAAAAUGACCUGGGCAAUUAUGCUAUUAGGCUAACAAAACGAUUCCAUUCUGCUACCGAGGUGAACUCUUGCAUCCAGUAAAGUAUCCGGCACAGAAAGAUGCCACCUGAAUUUUUCCUACCAAGUCUAAAAUUUUCUACUCGCAUCAAAUAUUCAUCAUGAGCUGUUCAGGUGUCGGGUUUGGUGGAUUACCAUUUGGCAUCUUCUUUUCCAUCAUAGUGUGGCGCCUCUAAAUGGGAAAUACAUCCCAAAGCUUGUAUUAAAAUGCAACCAAGCUCAUGUUUGUGUUUUGUUUCGAAGUACAUUCAAUAUGUUUGAAGAUAAGUGCUAAAAACAAGUGCAAAGACUGAGAACAAUAUCGUACUGAAUUGUUGAGAUAUUGCUUAAAACUCUUUUUCACCUCCCAAAUGUUCCUAAUUUUGUGGGCAGGGCUAAAAACUAGCCUUGUGAAGUCACGUGGCUUGGGUCUAUACCCCACUAUAUAAAAACCAAGCGCCCUUAUUACAUGCAGUGGCCAUUCGGUGGAAUUUCACUGCCUUGUUCAUAAAUAACUUCACCCAGUUCUACCAGUAUAGCGUGCAAUUGGCCAUGAAACUAUGCCCACAGUUUGAAAAAACAUCUUCCCUGAAGUGUGAUAUGUUUUGUGUUAUUUGGGCAACGUGUCUUGCCGUCUGGCAACUUAUGCACGUUGUGUUGCGAGGCAGCGGUAAAAAGGACACGUUCCCGCCACUCCGCAGCUCAUUGCCAGAGAGGUUAGAGAAGCCGCUGGAGGUCCAGCACAACAGCGUUAGUGCCGUUAGCUUCACAGACUACUUCCCUCCUGCUUUGUUCGUGAAUUUCAAAGGAGGGAAACUUGUCCUCGCGGCGCGGUUUAUGGUCAUUAUGCCGACUCAGAGGCUGCUUCUCUGCAAAGCGUGUGAUAUCUCGGUCGCUGGGAAGGAAGGUGGUAUGAGUAUUUGAUUGACAGGAGAGGCGGGAUUUUCAGAGCUCUCAGCGGCACGCCCACAGCGUCUGAAAGCUGAAAGAAUGUCUAAAUUAUUGACCAUUUUGAAGCCUGAUUUCACAUACUUUGCAAUUUUUUUAUUCAUUCCUUCAUUGUUAACAAGCGUCUUCGCUGUGAUGUGUCAAAUUCCCAAGACUUUUUAUUCUGCUGUUUGGUUGCAUUUUAAGAUAUUACCCCCCAAAAAAUAUGUUUAUAAUAAUAAUCACCCAAAAGAUAUUACCAAAUCGCAUAGAAAAAAAAAAGAAUUAAGGGAGUGAAGUCUAAAUUAGGGCACUCUUGUAUGUAUACUUACUAUAGAGUAGGCUUGUUCAAAGUGUGACACAGUGAGCCUCACCUCAGAAAACAAAAUUUUCAACUGUUUAAAAAUUGCACGGUACUCAUAUGUCAAGUGUUUUGCAACUUAUCACAGUGGAUCUUACACCAAAAUUAUUUAUUACUGCCCCAGAGUGUCGCCUCGAUCACAUUACGAACCAAAAAUGUGAAUAACAGGUCUUGUUUUUUUCCUCAUGCUGCAACCCUUCCCCUUAAGACAGCUGCUGCACUGAAAAAGUCCUUUGAAUACCCUCAUUAGUUUGUCCCAGAUGACAAAAGUCACUUUUCCCCAAAUUACGCUAAAUUUUAUUGUUAUAUUAUUGCUAUUAUUUUAUAAAAAUGUUUCCAUUUUAAAUAAGUAACUUUUAUAUAGUACUUUAUAUAUAUUUAUCAAAUAUUACUUAUAUUUUCUUUUGUUUUAAAGGCAAGUACACACACAACCCCAUUUUUGUUAUUCACAUUUAUAAGAAGAAAUAUUAUAUUAGUAGUAUAUUUUAAAUAUUAUAAAUAUUUCAAUUGUGAUCAGUACGCCCUGAGAUAACCCAGUGAUUGUCAGAAACAUUGAGUUAAAUGCAUUUUUUUUGGAGUGUGCUAAAAGGAAAAAUGACAAAAAAAUCCUCCAGUGAAAACCAUGGACAAUAAAGAGAAAUAAAGGAGAAAUUAAAUUUACAGUACAAUGGACCCCUGCUAUUCGCGGGGGAUAGGGACAGGGUUUGACCAUGAAUAGCAAAAAUCUGCAAAUACUUGGCAGCCAUUAUAAUUGCAUUGAUUUAAAAAAAAAAAGUUUAACCCAAGAAAUCUUGAAUAAGUGGGGAUAUACAGUACCUCCGAUAAGCAUUUUCCAAGACAAAACGGGGUUGGUCCACCCAUUUUUGUUGUUGUUGUUAUUGAAAUUGGAGGAAUAAGUGAGUAGUUGAAUCCACGGGUGCCUGACCGCGAAUACUAAAAUAUAAUAAUCGUCGACGGUACUGUACUAUUACUGUAAUAUUAAGCCAUGCAAACACUUCCACAGAGUUUAAGUUUGGAAAAAAAUGACAUCACAAAAUUGAUUUGGAAAGUAGUCAUAAUUAGGGUUGGGCAUCGUUUGAAUCCGAGCGAUUCCGGUUCCGAUUCCGGUUCCUUAGUUCGAUUCCGUUCCAAACGGUUCUCGAUUCCGAUUCUUCUAAGGGGCUGGGUCAAAAAAGUUUGCAUGGUUUAAAUAAAGGGUGUCCAAAUUAUGAACAUCCAUUUUCUUAGCAGCCCACAGUAUAGACUAAAAUGAUUAUUUGACUCGGGGUUCUUUAUAACCAGUAUCAAUAUCGAACCUAUGAACUAAAAGGCAAUGUGUGUGGAACUAAACCAUUUGACUUAAUAUUCAUUAAUUAAUGUUUCAGCUAAAAGUUAAAUAUAGCCUUGUUAAAAUAGUUAUUUUAACUCUUUGAAGUAUUUUAUUUUAUUGUUUCACUCACCCAGUUGACUGAGAGUUGACUUCAGCUAUACAGCUGCCCCUGUAUUUUGUUUCAUCUCGUCAAAUGGUUUGUAUGUCCAAGUUUUAACUUGACUUCUUGUUUUAGGCUUGUAGCCUUUUAAUUUGCAGGGUAUGCACCAGAACUCAGCAUUUUGGCACGAAAAGUAACUUCACACGGCACCGGCGAUUGUUUCAGAAUUGUUUAUUAUUUUUUUUGAAUGGAUGGAACCAAAUGCUAUAAAACGCUGAUUCCUUUCCUUACCUGACGAUGACCUACAAGGUUAGUGUUUGUGAUACAGUGAGACAAUGUUUAUGUGAAUUUUGUCCCAAUUCAUUGAAGUUUUAGCGCAAUGUUAAGCUUGUUUUUUUUUUUUUGUCAUCGCCAUUUGAAGACUAAAAUAAACGCUAAAAACCAUCAGUGCAAAAGUGCAAGCAACUGUUUACUUUGUUAGCUGUCGCAAUGUUGGCAUAGAGGUAUUUUAUUGUUUCACUCACCCAAUUGACUGAGAGUUGACUUACCUGAAGCUCCGCGCGGUGUAGGCUGAGGCUCGGAGCACGUCAGACGCUACACAUCCUGAAAGCCUCCUUUGCACAACAUAAUCUUAUUCCAAGUGUUGCACUGAGGCGACUGGUCAUUCAUUUGAACAAAGACACACUUUUGUUCCCCGCCGCUGCCGUUGGGCACAAGCAUGUCAUCGUGCCCAUUCUUCUUCACUGGUUUACGCCGCUUCUUUGUUGCUUUUCGCCACUUCUUCGCGGCUGGAGGACUGGGAACCGAAAUGUUUAAAUUUUAACGGUUCCGGGAGAACCGGAACGUUAGUCCCGGUUCCAUUCGGUUCUUGAUUCUCGAUGCCCAACCCUAGUCAUAAUGGCAUUUAACAGUUUAAAAACUUGAUUUGUGUGAGGCCAAGAGUGUUACAUGAAAAUCAAAAGUAGAUGAAAGGUUUCUCUACAAAUAAAAGGAACAAGAAUAAAACUGACAGAGGGAAAAAUUGUCCAUUCCCUUCAUGGGGUCUCCUGAGAUAAGAGAGCAGCAGAGAUAAAGUGGGUUGCAAACUAGACAAACAGCAUCAAGAGCACAUAUUGUGACUCAAAUCUUAAGUUGUGGGAAAAAUAACCACAAGUUUCCCACUGGGAUUCAAAUAUUUGCUCUCUUGCACACAUUUGAGCACCCUGCUUGUUAUCACCAAUCUGUUGGCUGAUAGCUUUGAAAGUAGCUAAUGCUGAUAAAAGGGUUUGUUUAGAAAAAUAGUAAUCAAGAGCUCUUCAGCUUGACUGCAGUCACAAAGCAGUCAUCAGCAGAAUCAGAAUCAAUUUUAGUACAACAAGGAGUUUAUCACUAAUGCACACUGCGACAGCACACACACAACAAUAGUAUUUAUCUUUAAAGGUCUCGUAUUCUGGCUUUUUAGACCUCCAUAGACUGACUCUCUAACAUGGACUUAAUAUAAAAGUGUCAAUUUCAUUUAAAAAAAACACCUUGGUUUUGUCAUACGAGUGUCAAGAAAGGCCCCUCUGACAGUUACGUCUGUUUGACCGAGUUUUGUAUCUGCUUUGUCCAUAUUUGGCUAAGACCGCCCCCUUUCCGCUGACUGCUUGCCUCCGUCUAGAAGACCCACUUGUGAGAGCACACGUGUUUAUUAUGUUUACAGCGCUGCCUCAGGAGAGGAAAAAAAAGGCGGAGAUCGUCACUAGAUAAGCUCGAGAAAUUCAAGUGAUCUGAUUUCAGGCCUCAGGACAGAAAAACGUCUGGAACUCAGAAAUGCGUGGAUGAUUUUAAAUCAUAUUUCACAUGUUUACUGAGACACCAUAGAGACAAUAUUACAUUCCAAAUACUAGAAAAAGUUAGUUCAGCAAAAUAUGUCCCCUUUAAGUAGAGACAGUAUUGUGUUGAGGCAAAAUCUGGGUGGGAAACUGUGACUGCUCUUAACUGUAAUACCCAUCAUUAAUGUAAUGAGAGUAUUGUGAUUCAGCAAUAGCCUCAAUAUGUAUUGAGCUAUCUAACCGACUUAUUUUUAAACUAUAAGAACUGUAGAGAAACAGUUUUUGCACAUUAAGCAUACAAAAAAGUGAAACGUUGAAAAACAGCUAAAAUAAUUUCCAUUAAAUACUGGAUUUCAAGGAAUAUAUGAUCAUUAUUGACAUCCAAUGUAUUCGUCGAUCAGAUGGCAGCACUUUUUCCCAUUCAAAACAUGUAGCAACAAUAUUUUUACUGUUUUCUGUAAGCACUGAAAUAAUAGUUUACUGGUGUUGAAGUUCAACAGUAUAAUAGCGUGUAUUUUUGUAUAUGUGUGUGUGUGUGUGUGUGUGCGCACAUGCGCAUGUACGUCUCCAUCUUAAGCCUUUUCUUGCCACAUUCGGCAUUAUAGACACAAAGCAGCCAUCAGCAGUAGUAGUAAGGGCUGAAAAUCUCGUAACUAUAAUUAAUAUUAAAAAUCUAUAUUUCAGGCUGAUAUAUGUAUAUAUCCAUCCAUCCAUCCAAAGGUCAGGUGACGUGUGCAACAUAGUCAAGGUCAGAGGACUUCGAAAUUAGAUGACAAAACCCCAAUGCUGCUAAAGUGGCUUGUGGGACCCUGAGUCUAGUGUGUGAGUGUGUGUGAGUGUGUGUGCGUGCGUGUGCGUGUGUUUUAGUGUGUGUGCAUCUACAUGUUUGCGGGUCAUCAGAGUUCAGAGUUCAGGUGGGCAGAGGACAGAAGAGGUAGAGGGGGCAGAGCGGGCAGAGAGUUCAGCUUCCUGACAGCCUGAUAAAUAAAACGGUCUUUGAGUCGGCUAGUCGUGGCCUGCGAACUCCGCAGUCUCCUGCCUGAUGGCAGCAGACUGAAGAGGCUGUGUGACGGAUGGGUGGCAUCCCCCGCUAUGCGGAGAGCUUUGCGGGUGAGGCGGGUGCUGUAAAUGUCCUGCAGGGAGGGAAGAGAGGUUCCAAUGACCUUCUCAGUUGCCCUCACUAUGCGAUGGAGAGUCUUGCGACAGGAUGCAGUGCAGGUUCCGUACAACACAGUGAUGCAGUUUGAAGAAGAAGAAUCACCUUUAUUGUCAUGAACAUGCAUGGAUGCACACGAAAUGUGUUCUCUGUAUUUUACCCAUCACAGUUGGUCAAGAUGCUCUCUAUGGUCCCUCUGUAGAACGAGCACAUGAUGAGGGUCGUGGCUCUGGCUCUUCUCAGCUUGCUCAGGAAGUAGAGACGCUGGUGAGCUUUCUUGGCCAGUGAUGAGGUGUUGCUGGUCCAGGAGAGGUCCUCGGUGAUGUGCACUCCCAGGAACUUGGUGCUGCGCAACCUCUCCACCGCAGCACGGUUGAUGUUCAGGGGAGCAUGCUUGGAGUGCGCUCUCCUGACGUCCACAGCAAUCUCUCGUCUUCAAACUUGAUGAAGAGGUUGCAGCUGUAUGUCGGUGUGGAGUCAUGGGUCAGCAGGGUGAAGCGGUAUAUAUAUAUUAGGCUUUACACGAUCAGGAUUUCUGGGGCCGAUCAGCAAGUUUAAAAAAAAAACGAUAACCGAUCACCGAUCCGAUCACAAGAUGGAGCAAUGUGUCUAUUUACAUGACUUGUUCAUUUAUUGUAUAUACUUGUGUACUGUAUACUGUAUGCAUCCAUCCAUCCAUUUUAUGUACAGCUUAUCCUUACAAGGGUUGCGGGCGUGUUGGAGCCCGUCCGUCCUCGCUCAAAUUAUUCUCUAGCAUUUUAGACAAAAGUUAAAACAUCAAUGACCUCUAGGGGGCAUUCAAGGAUAGAAAUUUACUUUAUUACUUGAAUAAAAUACUGUUAAUGACAUGCUUACUCUAACUUUCUCACUGUCCCAGCUAUAUGGAUGGGUGUUGUCCAGAGUUCAAGCCCGUUUGACUUUUUAUUUAUUUUAUUCCCCCCCCCCACGCAGUGUUGCUUGAACGCGGCAUGCUCCUUGUGUACAUUCUUCAGGUGCUCGAUCAAAUUUGUGUUGAAGCAUUUACAUGACGUUCCCCACGACGUACUUCAGUUGUGCGCAAACUGCAAAUAACUUACGUGUUGUUUGUCUGACACACUGCAAAAUAGUCCCACACCGACGACGUGUUUUUUCACCGACAAGAUUGAAAAAACUUUGUUGGCCAUCAGAUAGUUACAGUACUGCGCAACAAGACACGUGACAUGGCUAAAAAUAAACUAGCUUUUGGAUUCAUACGCCACGAAAACGUAGAGUUAAAUGUCUUGUGCGGAGCCGAUGACGUCAUUGAUCGGAUCGGCGAAUUAUGACAUGAAAGCCGAUCAGCCGAUCAGUGUAUAAUGCUAAUUAUCGGCCGAUACCGAUAACACCGAUCAGAUUGGCGUAAAGUGUAAUACAUAUCCUUCCAUCUACCCAUUUGCUUAACCGCUUAUCCUCACUAUGGUAGCGGGCAUACUGGAGCCUCUCUCUCUCUCUCUCUCUCUCUCUCUCUCUCUCUCUCUCUCUCUCUCUCUCUCUCUCUCUCU